GCACUUAGCAGACAGAAACGCUGAGCUGGAGCGAGUGAACAGAAUCAACCAAAGCUUGCAGGACGACUGGGAAAGAAGUGCUGUGAUGAAGAAGCAGCGGGACUUGGAGGAAAAGGCUUUUGAGCGGGCUUCGGACAAGCUCUUCCUCCUGGACCAGUGCGAGAAGUAUCGGCGCUGCAGGCAGUGCCAGAGGCGCACCUCCAACGUGGGCGAGAGCAACCUGUGGCCCUUGAACAAGUACAUGCAUGGCUCCCGGCUCUUUCUAUAAAACCAAAGUUUGGGCCUGCGUUUCCUGGGGAAAGUUUUUCUUUUUAAACUGUUUAGGGGGGAUGGUGAAACGACAUAUUUGCACUUUAGAGGAAACAAAAUAUAUUGUACCAUUUUGGUGCUUUCAGAUGUGGACUGAAUUCACAUUGAUGGGGUCUCCCCUUCUGUCUUCCUCCUGUUUCUCCCCCACCGCAACCCUGUAGCUGCUAGGCAAGGGAUUCUGGCUGAGGGGGUGCUGCUGACCCAGCCCUGUGUGCUGAUGUGUAAAAAACUUAUGUUUUCCUCACCUGUAAUGAAUAGUGUCAUAAUAUGUACCUUCUACGUGCUUGUGCACAACAAAUCAUAAUGGUAAAUUUUAUCACCGCUCCCCCAGCCCUAGAUUUUUCCAGAGGACAGUAUGUGUGAACCAACCAUAGGUAGGUUAAGCUAUUUGCCUCACGUGGUCUGAGCAUGUUGUCUGUCUAGUUGAUGACACACCUGGGACUUGUUGGGACCUUAGGGGGUAUUGUUCCCUUGGGGAUCUUCCAACCAGCAAUCUUGCCACCUAGCCAUUUCUGCACCAUGAUAUUCUUGGGAUAAGUGUGUGCUGGAAGGGGAGCCUGGCAAGGUCCACCUUCUUCUCUCAUUGCUUCUCUUGCAUCCAUUUUAAGCAGUACUGCUGUGGAAGAGAAGGGCUUCCCAUUAAGGAUUUUCAGUUAAGGCUAUGUGUUCCCAAUCCAAACUUUCUUCAUCUUCACCCCUUGUCUUUCCUCUCCCUGCCCUGCCCCCUCAGGUGAAACCAUUCACAGAGUGAGGUCCAGAUUCUGAAAUAUAAAAAACCCGGGAAGAAAGUCCCUUUUAGACUCUCUGCUUUCUGUCUGCCACAUCUUUCCCAGAAAAUGGGGAAAAGUCUAUAUGGAGAGACAUCCAAAACAUUGUUUUUCCCUACUCUAAAUAUAAAAUAGGAAGGUUUUGAGCCCUGAAUAGUUAAGGGAAAAAUACUUACUCAAAUUGAUAUUGAGCAAAUUUUGUUGUCAAUGUUCUCUUUUACUAUGGAACUAAGUAUGAUCUCUGCUGACUGGUACUUUCUAGAACACUUCCCCCCAUGCUUCCUACACUGCCACUUCCUUCCAUUUCCUCAGAAGUCCCCUCCAAGCAGAAAGUCCAAUCAUCACCAACCAAUAUUUAAAACAACAGCCAUUCCCUGGGACUGCUCAACUUACUUGAAAUCCAUUCCUGUCAUACCCUUGGAGUAGUUCUGUCUUUAAUACAUAGUAAGUAGCUAAAAUAUUGUUGCAUUAAUAUAUUUUUUUAAAUGUAGACUGCUUUAUUAAAGAAAAAAGUCUUUAGGCAAUUUUGAUAUGCCUAGGUGAAAGAGUGAAUGUAGUAGACACGUUCGCUGUAGUAACUGAACUUAUUAUUAUUUACUACCAUGGGUAGAGAUACUGAGUUGGACUGUGUGCCAAGCACCAGGCCACGGACCUGGAGGUUAAGACCUCGUCAGUCCCUUCCUGCCUUUGGAGCACUCAUUGUGUAGUGCAGAAGGUAGAUGUGACUGGAAAAUCUUUGUAUAACAAGGUAAUCUAAUAGCAGUGUGCACUGCUUCUUAUGGAAGAGCAAGCUGGGGCCCUUGCAGUCAGGAUAGCCUGACAGGGAAAGCUUUUGGAAGAGAUGAGGCCUAAUCUGAAUUUUUAAGGAUCAACAGGAAAUAGCUAGAUGUCGAGUGACAAGGGGUCAUGGCAACUGACGUCAAGGCCCUAGGAUCCUGUCUAUUGAAGACAAGUUGGAGAUACGGUUAUGUGAGUUAGGUUAUAAAACCUGAUUUAAAAAAAAUAAAAUUUUAAGAAU
rnacentral:lncRNA from 1 species